GCUGCAGCAGCCGAAGCGCUUAAAACUUAGAAUUCGAGGAGGUGAUGGAAAGAAAGCGGAAGGAAGUGUGAUGGCUAAGGCGUUGGACAAAGCCGGGGAAGCAAAAUGUAGUGAUCGCAUUUCGGGAGGUAUAAAGAAUCUAAGCGAGUAAACAAAUUAAAGCGCUGACUAGAAAGUGGAACAGUUAGAGAGGCGAUAAAAAAGUUAAACCCAAAAAAGUAAACAAAUUAGGAAAUUUUCAAAGCAAAGGUGCUCAAAGCGAAGAUAUGCGGAUAAUUUGCUUAGAUUAACCCAAUCCAUCCAUUAGAAAAAGGAAAAUAUUUAAAAAAUACAAAACUUAGAGAAGCUGAAGCGUAAUGUGGCAAGUGAGGGCGAAUUGCAAAAAACAAGCUAUUAAGGCCAGGAAGCAAAGAUAAAAGACUAAAAAACAACAAAGUGACACCAAAGAGGAAUAUGUCAAAGUAAGGCGAUAAGCAGAUGCUGGAUACACAGAUAUGUAUGCUAUGUAUGGGUGUGCAGUGAGUGGCACGAAAGCAAGCGAAAUUCCAAAUAAACCAUAAAAAUAACACAAACAACAAAAAACCAAAAAUCAUUGGAAAAGUGAACGCAUCAGGCAGGCAAGCAGCAUAUUGCGGCCACCCCAAUCACACUCAAUCUGCACAAACAGGCGGCAUUGAAAGGAUUGAAGCACUAAAAAAAAGAGUAGCGGAAGCGGGCGCGGGCGCUGAUUGACAGCGCGCCAGCGGAAGUAGUCAUACGAUCCGCAAAAUGAAGGGAUUAAUUUUUAGUCAAAAAGCAAACAAGCGACGACGGCGAAAAAAUGUUAAAAGCAGCCAAACGCCAACGGGCAGCAUAGCAUUGGCCAGGCGCCGCGUGAAAACAAAAACCAUGGCGAGAAUAUGCAUAGCAACAACAGCAACAAAAACUCAAGAACAUAACAGUAACAGUAACAACGCACAACUGGCAGCGCCAUUAAUAUGCUUCAACAGCAACAGCUGCAAUGGCAUUGCCAACACCAACAGCAGGCGCAGCAGCAGCUUUGGCAGCAAUUUAGUACCCACCUUCAACCAGCAGCAUCACAACCAACACCACCACCACCAACAAUGCCUCGCCCCAGGCCAGCUGACGCUUAAAAUGCCACCGUACAUGCCGCCGAUUUUUAAAACAACGACUAUUCAAAUAGCUUCGCAGCGAAUACGCAGCAUAGAUGUAGUUGAAGUGGAAGAGCAGCUACACCACCAGCAGCAGCAGCAGCAGCAAAACCAACUGAAAAGUGUUCAAAAUCAUUGCUUUGCACAUCAACACCAGCAACUUCAGUGCCAGCCACUUUCGCUGUCCCCGCCACCUCGAUUCGCGUCAAGCCACCGCCCACUCCAGCUACUACCAGCCGCCACAACGGCAUCUUGGCCAACUCUGAUAUGGCGUACAUUGUCUUCUCGCUUAAAUUUCCAUUUCGGCAUUGCCGUCAUUGUGUUGGCCUCGAUUUUAAUGUAUUCAUGCCCAUGCGCGUCAGCAUUACGUCUCACAAAUGGUAACACUAAAACUUUAUCCGCUAAUAAGGAGCAAUUAAAUAUUGGCCUAAUUGCACCGCACACAAACUUUGGCAAACGUGAAUAUUUACGCGCCAUUAACACCGCCGUACAGGGGCUGGCAAAGACACGCGGUGCCAAGCUGACAUUCCUGAAGGACUAUUCAUUUGAGCCUCGCAACAUACAUUUCGACAUGAUGUCGCUGACGCCGAGUCCGACAGCCAUUUUGAGCACACUCUGCAAGGAGUUCCUGCAAGCGAACGUCUCCGCCAUACUAUAUAUGAUGAAUAAUGAACAAUUCGGUCAUAGCACUGCCUCCGCUCAGUAUUUCCUACAACUGGCCGGCUAUCUUGGCAUACCGGUAAUCUCAUGGAAUGCUGACAAUUCUGGUUUGGAGAGACGCGCCUCUCAAUCGACACUUCAGCUUCAGUUAGCUCCAAGUAUAGAACAUCAAAGUGCUGCUAUGUUGAGCAUUCUUGAGCGUUAUAAAUGGCAUCAGUUUUCGGUUGUCACCUCUCAGAUAGCCGGACACGAUGAUUUUGUACAGGCUGUACGGGAGCGUGUCGCCGAAAUGCAAGACCAUUUCAAAUUCACGAUACUCAAUUCGAUUGUUGUAACGCGCACCAGCGACUUGAUGGAAUUAGUGAAUAGCGAGGCUAGAGUGAUGCUCCUCUAUGCCACACAAGGCGAAGCGGUUACUAUUCUUAGAGCUGCUGAAGAAAUGAAGUUAACUGGCGAAAAUUAUGUGUGGGUCGUUAGUCAAUCGGUUAUCGAGAAGAAGGAUGCACAUUCACAAUUUCCCAUUGGCAUGUUGGGUGUACACUUCGAUACGAGUAGUGCUGCGCUAAUGAAUGAAAUAUCGAAUGCAAUCAAAAUUUAUGCCUUCGGUGUGGAAUCCUACCUUACAGAUCCGGCAAAUCGGGGGCGACGCCUUACAACGCAAUCACUUUCGUGUGAGGAUGAGGGACGCGGACGCUGGGAUAACGGUGAAACUUUCUUCCGUUAUUUGCGCAACGUGUCCAUCGAAGGCGAUCUGAAUAAGCCGAAUAUAGAGUUCACUGCCGACGGCGAUCUUAAAUCUGCUGAACUGAAAAUCAUGAACUUGCGUCCUGGAGCAAACAAUAAAAAUCUCGUUUGGGAAGAGAUUGGCGUCUGGAAAUCAUGGGAGACGCAAAAGCUCGAUAUCCGUGACAUCGCGUGGCCGGGUAACUCGCAUGCUCCACCACAGGGUGUACCCGAAAAAUUCCAUUUAAAGAUAACAUUCCUCGAAGAAGCACCCUAUAUCAAUCUGUCGCCCGCCGACCCAAUCAGUGGCAAAUGUCUAAUGGAUCGCGGCGUCCUUUGUCGGGUCGCGGCCGAUCAUGAGAUGGCCGCUGACAUCGAUGUGGGGCAAGCGCAUCGUAACGAAUCGUUUUACCAGUGUUGUAGUGGCUUCUGCAUCGAUCUGCUGGAAAAAUUUGCCGAAGAAUUGGGUUUCACAUACGAAUUGGUUCGGGUCGAAGAUGGUAAAUGGGGUACACUUGAGAAUGGUAAAUGGAAUGGGCUGAUUGCAGAUUUAGUAAAUCGUAAAACCGACAUGGUAUUGACAUCGCUGAUGAUCAAUACCGAACGCGAAGCUGUGGUGGACUUUAGUGAGCCCUUCAUGGAGACGGGCAUUGCGAUAGUGGUGGCGAAGCGUACAGGUAUUAUAUCGCCGACAGCCUUUCUGGAACCAUUCGAUACGGCCUCAUGGAUGUUGGUCGGCAUUGUGGCGAUACAUGCGGCCACUUUCAUGAUCUUCCUUUUCGAGUGGCUUUCACCCAGUGGCUAUAACAUGAAACUCUAUUUACAAAAUACAAGUGUGACGCCUUAUCGGUUCUCGCUUUGUCGCACCUAUUGGCUCGUGUGGGCGGUGUUGUUUCAAGCUGCCGUACAUGUGGACUCACCGCGCGGUUUCACCUCACGCUUCAUGACGAACGUGUGGGCUCUAUUCGCUGUGGUCUUCUUGGCCAUCUACACUGCUAACUUGGCUGCCUUCAUGAUAACUCGAGAGGAAUUCCAUGAAUUCAGCGGACUUAACGACAGUCGUUUGGUGCACCCCUACUCGCAUAAACCCUCAUUUAAGUUUGGCACUAUACCCUACAGUCAUACUGACUCGACUAUACACAAAUAUUUUAAGGAUAUGCAUCUCUACAUGAGACAAUACAAUAAAACUAGCGUCGCUGAGGGCGUUGCUGCCGUACUCAAUGGUAAUCUCGAUUCGUUCAUCUACGAUGGCACAGUUCUUGAUUAUUUGGUGGCACAAGAUGAGGACUGUCGUCUAAUGACAGUUGGCAGCUGGUAUGCCAUGACAGGUUAUGGUCUCGCCUUUAGUCGCAAUUCAAAAUACGUCCAAAUGUUCAAUAAACGUCUGCUAGAGUUUCGUGCCAAUGGUGAUCUGGAGCGAUUACGUCGUUACUGGAUGACGGGCACAUGUCGACCUGGCAAACAGGAGCACAAAUCUUCAGAUCCACUUGCGCUGGAACAAUUUUUAUCCGCUUUCCUACUGCUCAUGGCUGGUAUUUUAUUUGCCGCGCUGCUACUGCUGCUCGAACAUGUCUACUUCAAAUAUGUACGAAAACGUUUGGCCAAAAAGGAUGGCUGUCACUGUUGUGCGUUGCUCUCAUUGUCGAUGGGUAAAGCGUUGACAUUCCGUGGUGCGGUUUUCGAAGCGACGGAAAUACUUAAAAAGCAUCGUUGUAAUGAUCCCAUUUGUGAUACACAUCUGUGGAAGGUUAAACAUGAGUUGGAUAUGUCACGGUUGCGUGUGCGGCAAUUGGAGAAGGCACUGGAUCAACAUGGCAUCAAGCCACCGCAAUUGAGACUGGCAUCAUCAUCGGAUUUACUAAAUCAUCAUCAUUUGAAAGAGCGUCCACCGCUGCUGGGUAACCUGAGCUUGGCUGCGAGCGCACAAGAUUUAUACAGGUGGUUCCGUAACUCUUAAUACGUUAAAAUGUCGGGAGGCUUAGAUAUUCUGUCCCUUAAAGAGGAUGAUAUCACCAAGAUGUUGGUGGCCACCACCCAUUUGGGUUCGGAAAACGUCAACUUCCAAAUGGAACAGUACGUUUACAAGCGCCGCGCUGAUGGUAUCAACAUCAUCAAUCUGGGCAAGACCUGGGAAAAGCUGAUGUUGGCUGCCCGCGCCAUUGCCGCCAUCGAGUACCCACAAGAUGUCUUCGUCAUUUCGUCGCGUCCCAUUGGUCAGCGUGCUGUACUGAAGUUCGCUAAGUACACCGAUA
rnacentral:misc_RNA from 1 species